GAUGAAGAACGUAGCGAAAUGCGAUACGUAAUGUGAAUUGCAAAUUCAGUGAAUCAUCGAAUCUUUGAACGCACAUUGCGCCCGCUAGUAUUCUGGCGGGCAUGCCUGUUCGAGCGUCAUUUCAACCAUCAAGCCCUGCUUGUGUUGGGGUCCUGCGGCUGCCCGCAGGCCCUGAAAACCAGUGGCGGGCUCGCUAGUCACACCGAGCGCAGUAGCACAUCUCGCUCAGGGCGUGCGGCGGGUUCUUGCCGUAAAACACCCCCUUUUUACCAAGGUUGACCUCGGAUCAGGUAGGAAUACCCGCUGAACUUAAGCAUAUCAAUAAGCGGAGGA
rnacentral:misc_RNA from 1 species